UACAGAGGGUGCGAGCGUUAAUCGGAAUUACUGGGCGUAAAGGGUGCGUAGGCGGUUAGUUAAGUUAGAUGUGAAAUCCCCGGGCUUAACCUGGGAAUGGCAUUUAAUACUGAUUGGCUAGAGUAGAGUAGAGGGUAGUGGAAUUUCCGGUGUAGCGGUGAAAUGCGUAGAUAUCGGAAAGAACAUCAGUGGCGAAGGCGGCUACCUGGACUCAUACUGACGCUGAGGCACGAAAGCAUGGGGAGCAAACAGG
rnacentral:rRNA from 1 species